GACGAACGCUGGCGGCGUGCUUAACACAUGCAAGUCGAGCGGAAAGGCCCUUCGGGGUACUCGAGCGGCGAACGGGUGAGUAACACGUGAGUAACCUGCCCCCGACUUUGGGAUAACCCUCGGAAACGGGGGCUAAUACCGGAUACGACACAGCUUCGCAUGGGGUCUGUGUGGAAAGUUUUUCGGUUUGGGAUGGGCUCGCGGCCUAUCAGCUUGUUGGUGGGGUGAUGGCCUACCAAGGCGACGACGGGUAGCCGGCCUGAGAGGGCGAACGGCCACACUGGGACUGAGACACGGCCCAGACGCCAACGGGAGGCAGCAGUGGGGAAUAUUGCACAAUGGGCGGAAGCCUGAUGCGGCGACGCCGCGUGAGGGAUGACGGCCUUCGGGUUGUAAACCUCUUUCAGCAGGGACGAAGCGUAAGUGACGGUACCUGCAGAAGAAGCGCCGGCCAACUACGUG
rnacentral:rRNA from 1 species